rnacentral:misc_RNA from 1 species
GAUGAAGAACGUAGCGAAAUGCAAUAAGUAAUGUGAAUUGCAGAAUUCAGUGAAUCAUCGAAUCUUUGAACGCACAUUGCGCCCGCCAGUAUUCUGGCGGGCAUGCCUGUUCGAGCGUCAUUUCAACCAUCAAGCCCCCGGCUUGUGUUGGGGACCUGCGGCUGCCGCAGGCCCUGAAAAGCAGUGGCGGGCUCGCUGUCACACCGAGCGUAGUAGCAUACAUCUCGCUCUGGGCGUGCUGCGGGUUCCGGCCGUUAAACCACCUUCAUAACCCAAGGUUGACCUCGGAUCAGGUAGGAAGACCCGCUGAACUUAAGCAUAUCAAUAAGCGGAGGA